AUCGAACGCUGGCGGCAGGCUUAACACAUGCAAGUCGAACGAGUGGCGGACGGGUGAGUAAUGCUUGGGAAUCUGGCUUCUGGAGGGGGAGAACUACGGGAAACUGACGCCUACUCCGCCUGCUAUAGGAUGAGCCCAUGUGGGAUUAGGUAGUUGGCGAGGUAAAGGCUCGUCAUGCCGACGCUCUCUAGCUGGUCUGAGAGGAUGACCAGCCACACUGGGACUGAGACACGGCCCAGACUCCUACGGGAGGCAGCAGUGGGGAAUAUUGCGCAAUGGGGGCAACCUGACGCAGCCAUGCCGCGUGAAUGAAGAAGGCCUUCGGGUUGUAAAGUUCUUUCGGUAGCGAGGCGUUAACUACAGAAGAAGCAACGGCUAACUCCGUGCCAGCAGCCGCGGUAAUAC
rnacentral:rRNA from 1 species